AUUGAGGAAAAAGAAGCUGAAGGAGCCGAG
rnacentral:piRNA from 1 species